rnacentral:rRNA from 1 species
UGCGCAGCCUACACAUGCAAGUUCGAGCGGAUGAGGGGAGCUUGCUCCCUGAUUUAGCGGCGGACGGGUGAGUAAUGCCUAGGAAUCUGCCUGGUAGUGGGGGAUAACGUUCCGAAAGGAACGCUAAUACCGCAUACGUCCUACGGGAGAAAGCAGGGGACCUUCGGGCCUUGCGCUAUCAGAUGAGCCUAGGUCGGAUUAGCUAGUUGGUGAGGUAAUGGCUCACCAAGGCGACGAUCCGUAACUGGUCUGAGAGGAUGAUCAGUCACACUGGAACUGAGACACGGUCCAGACUCCUACGGGAGGCAGCAGUGGGGAAUAUUGGACAAUGGGCGAAAGCCUGAUCCAGCCAUGCCGCGUGUGUGAAGAAGGUCUUCGGAUUGUAAAGCACUUUAAGUUGGGAGGAAGGGCAUUAACCUAAUACGUUAGUGUUUUGACGUUACCAACAGAAUAAGCACCGGCUAACUUCGUGCCAGCAGCCGCGGUAAUACGAAGGGUGCAAGCGUUAAUCGGAAUUACUGGGCGUAAAGCGCGCGUAGGUGGUUCGUUAAGUUGGAUGUGAAAGCCCCGGGCUCAACCUGGGAACUGCAUCCAAAACUGGCGAGCUAGAUGUACGGUAGAGGGUGGUGGAAUUUCCUGUGUAGCGGUGAAAUGCGUAGAUAUAGGAAGGAACACCCAGUGGCGAAGGCGMCCACCUGGACUGAUACUGACACUGAGUGCGAAA